ensembl:ncRNA ZC53.16 ncRNA
CACUUCCUGAAUUUUCCAUCAUCAAGGUCCCUAGAUUUAUCAAUUGUUAAAAAAUUAUACUUCUCCUUGAAUGUAUCUCUUGUAAAUUCAAGAAAUUCAUCUUUCUUGAUUUCUGAAAAGUGAUCCCUGUAGAUGUAAUCUAAAUUCAUCUUAUCUUGAGGAAAUACUAUGAAGAAGUUGGCAUUCUCUCUAAUUGUACUCUUUGGAAGUUUUAUAUAAUUCUGA